UUAAAUUGAAGAGUUUGAUCAUGGCUCAGAUUGAACGCUGGCGGCAGGCCUAACACAUGCAAGUCGAACGGUAACAGGAAUCAGCUUGCUGAUUCGCUGACGAGUGGCGGACGGGUGAGUAAUGUCUGGGAAACUGCCUGAUGGAGGGGGAUAACUACUGGAAACGGUAGCUAAUACCGCAUAACGUCGCAAGACCAAAGAGGGGGAGCUUCGGGCCUCUUGCCAUCGGAUGUGCCCAGAUGGGAUUAGCUUGUUGGUGGGGUAACGGCUCACCAAGGCGACGAUCCCUAGCUGGUCUGAGAGGAUGACCAGCCACACUGGAACUGAGACACGGUCCAGACUCCUACGGGAGGCAGCAGUGGGGAAUAUUGCACAAUGGGCGCAAGCCUGAUGCAGCCAUGCCGCGUGUAUGAAGAAGGCCUUCGGGUUGUAAAGUACUUUCAGCGGGGAGGAAGGGAGUAAAGUUAAUACCUUUACUCAUUGACGUUACCCGCAGAAGAAGCACCGGCUAACUCCGUGCCAGCAGCCGCGGUAAUACGGAGGGUGCAAGCGUUAAUCGGAAUUACUGGGCGUAAAGCGCACGCAGGCGGUUUGUUAAGUCAGAUGUGAAAUCCCCGGGCUCAACCUGGGAACUGCAUCUGAUACUGGCAAGCUUGAGUCUCGUAGAGGGGGGUAGAAUUCCAGGUGUAGCGGUGAAAUGCGUAGAGAUCUGGAGGAAUACCGGUGGCGAAGGCGGCCCCCUGGACGAAGACUGACGCUCAGGUGCGAAAGCGUGGGGAGCAAACAGGAUUAGAUACCCUGGUAGUCCACGCCGUAAACGAUGUCGACUUGGAGGUUGUGCCCUUGAGGCGUGGCUUCCGGAGCUAACGCGUUAAGUCGACCGCCUGGGGAGUACGGCCGCAAGGUUAAAACUCAAAUGAAUUGACGGGGGCCCGCACAAGCGGUGGAGCAUGUGGUUUAAUUCGAUGCAACGCGAAGAACCUUACCUGGUCUUGACAUCCACGGAAGUUUUCAGAGAUGAGAAUGUGCCUUCGGGAACCGUGAGACAGGUGCUGCAUGGCUGUCGUCAGCUCGUGUUGUGAAAUGUUGGGUUAAGUCCCGCAACGAGCGCAACCCUUAUCCUUUGUUGCCAGCGGUCCGGCCGGGAACUCAAAGGAGACUGCCAGUGAUAAACUGGAGGAAGGUGGGGAUGACGUCAAGUCAUCAUGGCCCUUACGACCAGGGCUACACACGUGCUACAAUGGCGCAUACAAAGAGAAGCGACCUCGCGAGAGCAAGCGGACCUCAUAAAGUGCGUCGUAGUCCGGAUUGGAGUCUGCAACUCGACUCCAUGAAGUCGGAAUCGCUAGUAAUCGUGGAUCAGAAUGCCACGGUGAAUACGUUCCCGGGCCUUGUACACACCGCCCGUCACACCAUGGGAGUGGGUUGCAAAAGAAGUAGGUAGCUUAACCUUCGGGAGGGCGCUUACCACUUUGUGAUUCAUGACUGGGGUGAAGUCGUAACAAGGUAACCGUAGGGGAACCUGCGGUUGGAUCACCUCCUUACCUUAAAGAAGC
rnacentral:rRNA from 1 species